AUUGAACGCUGGCGGCAGGCCUAACACAUGCAAGUCGAGCGGAUGAAGGGAGCUUGCUCCUGGAUUCAGCGGCGGACGGGUGAGUAAUGCCUAGGAAUCUGCCUGGCAGUGGGGGAUAACGUCCGGAAACGGGCGCUAAUACCGCAUACGUCCUGAGGGAGAAAGUGGGGGAUCUUCGGACCUCACGCUAUCAGAUGAGCCUAGGUCGGAUUUGCUAGUUGGUGGGGUAAAGGCCUACCAAGGCGACGAUCCGUAACUGGUCUGCGUGGAUGAUCAGUCACACUGGAACUGAGACACGGUCCAGACUCCUACGGGAGGCAGCAGUGGGGAAUAUUGGACAAUGGGCGGAAACCUGAUCCAGCCAUGCCGCGUGUGUGAAGAAGGUCUUCGGAUUGUAAAGCACUUUAAGUUGGGAGGAAGGGCAGUAAGUUAAUACCUUGCUGUUUUGACGUUACCAACAGAAUAAGCACCGGCUAACUUCGUG
rnacentral:rRNA from 1 species